CCCCUCGCUGCAGCCUGCAGCGCGAUGACGUGGUGGAUUAAUCCAUUACGUAGUGGAUGUUCAAACACGCAUGCGCCGUGAAUAUAAUUUUACGCGCAUGCGCGGUGGUGUGUUGUUAUUGGUGAACAAUCGCACGUGCUUUGGUAUUUCAAGAAGAAUCUGCCGAGAAACGAUGGAUUAUUUAACAACAGUGAUUGUAUAAAGAUUUGACUGGAUUUGGCAAGAUGCCCUUGCUCAUUAAAGAAGAUGGAGAUGUGGCUUUCCUCAGACUGUCUCUGACAUGCCAGCUUUUUCACCAUGUUGUUAGUGAAGCAUCUUUCAGAGAAAAGGCUCAUGUUGUCUGGCUUGACAGAGUUAUUAAUUUAAACAUUUUCCCAUAGCUCAAUUGGUAGAGCAUUACAUUACUAGCAAAUAUCAUCAGGGAACACACAUACUAAAUAAAGCAUGUUACUGUGUUGUCAACUGGAACACAUUCUCCAUGGUGUAGAGAUUUAUUUACAGAUGUCCACCUGGUCGAGUUGGAGGAAGGGUGUCCCAGGGAGGAAUUGUUCAUCUAUUCUGCAUCAGUAAAGCAGUGGUGGCGUGGCACUGACCUUAAACUAUUUAAGAUCAAACUGUGACAAAAGCUUUACCUGACCUGACUGCAGUCAGUUAUAUGUGACCUUGCCUGUGAAAAAACAGGAUAAGUCUUGAAAUGUAAUUAUGAUAUAUUGAGCAUCAAAGUGUUAUUUUCAUUAAUCUCACCUUUUGCCCUUUGGCGCUACAGAGCACUGAAUACUAGACACAACAACCGUUUGUUCCUCAGGCUAAAACCUAAACAAUAAAAGCACCCAUAACUUCCACACCUGUAACUGUAUAUUGUUUAUAAUCACCACAUACUGUACAUCUGUAAAUACUAAUCUAAACUGUAAAUAUCACCUAUUAUCUAUCUGUACAAUAACAGCAUCUGAACAUCCAUACAUGCAUCACUACACACAAUUGUAAAAAAGGAGAAAAUUUAUACAUAUACUUACUGUACCA